rnacentral:lncRNA from 1 species
UCCCAAGCCGCGCACUGCAAGCAGUGGCGCCGGCUCACGCACCCCUCGGCCGCCUCUCGCGCGGCUUCCCGCGCCGGCAGCCCGCGAUGGCCCCACGUGACCGCGUGUCUGGUAGCAGGGGAAAGAGGGGCGCCAGGGCCGGGGUGUGCGUGCGUGCGUGCGUGCGUACGUGCGCGCCCUCCCGCCCGCCCGCCUCAGUGGCCGGGCGGGGGUCGGCCCGCGCUCUGAGUGCCGCCGCCACAGUUCGCAGUUGUGACUCUGUAGGCGGAAGCAUAGGGACAAGCCUGAGCGUCACAGGCUCCCCACAAACAACCGCGUGACCCGGGGACUUUCCCCAGGGUGUGCAAAAGCACAGGCACCCCCUCAGUUCUGGGGUGAAGUCCCUGGCAGAGCCAGAGCCUCUCCGCGCAGCCCAGCCCGAGCGCCGAGCGCCGCGCGCCGCCGCCACUGCAG